UCUGACAACACGAUCCCUCGUGAGAUCAAAAGGAAUUUAUAUAAAAUAGCUAGCUAGACAUCUUGAUUGAUUUAUUUAUUUUUUCUUGGUAUCUAGUAAACAUAAUUUUUGAUCGUCGUAUUCGACAAAUGCAGGUUUUUCUACCAAGGCUGCAGUACAUUUGAGGAUUUUUUUUGCUUAAAAUGCUGUCUAGGCAGUGUUUGAAACGCAGCCUGUUUGUGUGCUUCUGCCAUGGUUGAUUUUUCCUGAUUUUCUUCAUUUUUUUUUUUUUUUUUUUUUUAAUCCUCCAGCGUCAAACUCGGACAUCUGUACUGUCAAGUUUGUGAAAAUAUACAGCCGUCGAGGUCCACAGGGAGCCUUUUCUCUCUGGUGAUGCUCGGAAGAACUUAUUGAAUAUGGAGCGAAAACUGUUGUGCGCGCAGGAGGGGGAGGGAUGCAGGCGAGGGCGUAUUUUGAAAUGCAGAUUUGGAUUUUUCACUUCACCUCGACAUAAACGGCGUGUUCGGAGGAAUAGAUAACGGCAGCGCUGAGAUUAGCCUGCAGCAAGAGAGCGAGAGAGAGAGACGCUCGCACAUUUCAGAACAGCGCUCGUGUAAUUCCUGCCAACAAGUAGGUGUUGCAAUCCGUGUGUGGGAGGGAAAGCGCUCUCAUAACUCAUAAUUGCCCUUGAGAGCGUCACUUGGUGCGCAAUUGUUCGUCUCUGCAACCCAGAACGGCUUUGUCCAUUUUUGAGAUCAAGAAACGCAAGGUGACGUGGGAUAAUGCUAUUGACCUGUGCGCAAAACACUCAUGGAGAAGUCACGGUCUUGGAUAAUUCUGACGGACCGUCUGGCUGUUUGGAUGACAGCUUGUGUGUUUAUGCGCGCUUGUGUGGUCAUACCCACCUGUUCUUGUCAUUGCCGCCACCUGCGUUUUCUGUCACAUUGAGCGCGAUGCUAAUCCCUUGAAUUUUGAUUAGUGUGUGUCUGUGUGUGUGUGUUUGUGUGUGUCCUCUCCUCUAGUUAGGUUUUGUGUUCUGAAUCCUUAGCUGGACUCCACCAUGGCCAGGUUGUACAUGCAUUUGGACCCAGUUGGUGCACUUUGAAUCCGGUUAAGCCCGUUUGACCUCGAGAUACAGGGUGUCCGAGGGUGAUGCGGAGUGUGUGUGUGAGCCGUGGCUUGGCGACCCGACCCGAGCGCUGGUGACGGGGGUCAUGGGACUGCUGCUGCUGCUGCCCCCUGUCCGUCUCUCAGUCUGCCCCGCUGCUUCUGGAGGCCCCAGGGUCCUACGCUCCCUAAGGUUCCUGCCCAGUCCUGAAAACAGCACAGCUGGUGGUGAUUUUCAGUCUUGUGUCUGAGGAUAAUGUCUGAAUCUUCUCUGGACACCAGAAGUAGUGACGUUAUGAAGGUUCUGGAGAGUGACGGGCCACACAUGGCCGAACCGCCUGCGACCCUCAGUGACUCCCAACAACACGCAUCCCAGAACAACGGCACACACACCCAGGAGUGUGUGACAGACCAAAGCUCCUCCCAUCAAACUCAGGUAAACUGGGUUAAUAAAUCUCAA